GAUGAACGCUGACAGAAUGCUUAACGCAUGCAAGUCAACUUGAACUUCGGUUUGGGUGGCGGACGGGUGAGUAACGCGUAAAGAACUUGCCUCACAGAUAGGGACAACAUUUGGAAACGAAUGCUAAUACCUGAUAUUAUGAUUAUAUGGCAUCGUAUAAUUAUGAAAGCUAUAUGCGCUGUGAGAGAGCUUUGCGUCCCAUUAGCUAGUUGGAGAGGUAACGGCUCACCAAGGCGAUGAUGGGUAGCCGGCCUGAGAGGGUGAUCGGCCACAAGGGGACUGAGACACGGCCCUUACUCCUACGGGAGGCAGCAGUGGGGAAUAUUGGACAAUGGACCAAGAGUCUGAUCCAGCAAUUCUGUGUGCACGAUGAAGUUUUUCGGAAUGUAAAGUGCUUUCAGUUGGGAAGAAAAAAAUGACGGUACCAACAGAAGAAGUGACGGCUAAAUACGUG
rnacentral:rRNA from 1 species